CUAACACAUGCAUGUCGAGCGGUAACAGGAGAAAGCUUGCUUUCUUGCUGACGAGCGGCGGACGGGUGAGUAAUGUAUGGGGAUCUGCCCGAUAGAGGGGGAUAACUACUGGAAACGGUGGCUAAUACCGCAUAAUGUCUACGGACCAAAGCAGGGGCUCUUCGGACCUUGCACUAUCGGAUGAACCCAUAUGGGAUUAGCUAGUAGGUGGGGUAAAGGCUCACCUAGGCGACGAUCUCUAGCUGGUCUGAGAGGAUGAUCAGCCACACUGGGACUGAGACACGGCCCAGACUCCUACGGGAGGCAGCAGUGGGGAAUAUUGCACAAUGGGCGCAAGCCUGAUGCAGCCAUGCCGCGUGUAUGAAGAAGGCCUUAGGGUUGUAAAGUACUUUCAGCGGGGAGGAAGGUGAUAAGGUUAAUACCCU
rnacentral:rRNA from 1 species